rnacentral:rRNA from 1 species
GAUGAACGCUGGCGGCGUGCCUAAUACAUGCAAGUCGAGCGAACGGACGAGAAGCUUGCUUUUCUGAUGUUAGCGGCGGACGGGUGAGUAACACGUGGAUAACCUACCUAUAAGACUGGGAUAACGUCGGGAAACCGGAGCUAAUACCGGAUAAUAUUUUGAACCGCAUGGUUCAUAAGUGAAAGACGGUCUUGCUGUCACUUAUAGAUGGAUCCGCGCUGCAUUAGCUAGUUGGUAAGGUAACGGCUUACCAAGGCAACGAUGCAUAGCCGACCUGAGAGGGUGAACGGCCACACUGGAACUGAGACCCGGUCCAGACUCCUACGGGAGGCAGCAGUAGGGAAUCUUCCGCAAUGGGCGAAAGCCUGACGGAGCAACGCCGCGUGAGUGAUGAAGGUCUUCGGAUCGUAAAACUCUGUUAUUAGGGAAGAACAUAUGUGUAAGUAACUGUGCACAUCUUGACGGUACCUAAUCAGAAAGCCACGGCUAACUACGUG